GACGAACGCUGGCGGCGUGCCUAAUACAUGCCAGUAGAACGCUGAAGGCGGAGCUUGCUCUUCUGGAUGAGUUGCGAACGGGUGAGUAACGCGUAGGUAACCUGCCUGGUAGCGGGGGAUAACUAUUGGAAACGAUAGCUAAUACCGCAUAAUAGUAGAUGUUGCAUGACAUUUGCUUGAAAGGUGCAAUUGCAUCACUACCAGAUGGACCUGCGUUGUAUUAGCUAGUUGGUGGGGUAACGGCUCACCAAGGCGACGAUACAUAGCCGACCUGAGAGGGUGAUCGGCCACACUGGGACUGAGACACGGCCCAGACUCCUACGGGAGGCAGCAGUAGGGAAUCUUCGGCAAUGGACGGAAGUCUGACCGAGCAACGCCGCGUGAGUGAAGAAGGUUUUCGGAUCGUAAAGCUCUGUUGUAAGAGAAGAACGAGUGUGAGAGUGGAAAGUUCACACUGUGACGGUAUCUUACCAGAAAGGGACGGCUAACUACGU
rnacentral:rRNA from 1 species